rnacentral:rRNA from 1 species
AGCAGCCGCGGUAAUUCCAGCUCCAAUAGCGUAUAUUAAAGUUGUUGCAGUUAAAAAGCUCGUAGUUGAAUUUCGGGAUUAGUACGCUGGUCGUGCCUUCGGUACGUACUGGUGUUACUGAUUCCUACCUUCUGACGAACCAUCAUGUCAUUAAUUUGGUGUGGUGGGAAAUCAGGACUGUUACUUUGAAAAAAUUAGAGUGUUUAAAGCAGGCUCGCGCUUGAAUACAUUAGCAUGGAAUAAUGAAAUAGGACGUUGACCCUAUUUUGUUGGUUUCUAGGAUCGACGUAAUGAUUAAUAGGGAUAGUUGGGGGCAUUAGUAUUCAAUUGUCAGAGGUGAAAUUCUUGGAUUUAUUGAAGACUAACUACUGCGAAAGCAUUUGCCAAGGAUGUUUUCAUUAAUCAAGAACGAAAGUUAGGGGAUCGAAGACGAUCAGAUACCGUCGUAGUCUUAACCAUAAACUAUGCCGACUAGGGAUCGGAUGAUGUUAUUUUUAAUGACUCAUUCGGCGCCUUACG